rnacentral:tRNA from 2 species
GCUCAAAUGGCGGAAUUGGUAGACGCGUUGGAUUCAAAAUCCAAUUUCUUCGGGAGUGUGGGUUCGAUUCCCACUUUGAGUACAA